CACGUGGGAAACGUGCGGCGCGACCGCCACAUGUACUGAGGUUGAAUCGUGACGGCCACAGGCUCCGAGUUUUGGCGUGAGGAGACCGCUGAUCGGCUACGGGCGCCGAACUUGCUGGCCUCAGGCAUGUGCCUGAGCGGCGGCGGAAAAACCACCUCAGUUGGGGCGGAGGGAACAAUGGCGCUGUCUUCAGUGGCACAGCGGAGCAGUUCUGUGAAGAUGCAAAGUGAGGGUCGCUGUCUGCCCAUUGAUAGAGGCCAGAUUGUCUUGGAAGUUCCAAAGUUGCAACGAUUUCUGGCUAGUGCCACGAGGUUUACUUGACUGUUGUGUGAAAAGCUGAUAAGAAAACCAUCCAGAAAACAGCUCUUCGUUUUACAAACAUGAAAAUAAAACAUGUAAUUUUG
rnacentral:lncRNA from 1 species